AUACGAACUGUGCAAACGUUAUUCGGAAUCACUGGGCUUAAAGGGUGCGUAGGCGGGUUUGAAGGUCUGAUGUGAAAGCCCACGGCUCAACCGUGGAAUUGCGUUGGAAACCACAAGCCUUGAGGGAGUCAGAGGUGAGCGGAACUAAUGGUGGAGCGGUGGAAUGCGUUGAUAUCAUUAGGAACACCGGUGGCGAAAGCGGCUCACUGGGACUCUUCUGACGCUGAGGCACGAAAGCUAGGGGAGCGAACGGGAUUAGAUACCCUAGUAGUCC
rnacentral:rRNA from 1 species